rnacentral:rRNA from 1 species
GAUGAACGCUGGCGGCGUGCCUAAUACAUGCAAGUCGAGCGAACAGACGAGGAGCUUGCUCCUCUGACGUUAGCGGCGGACGGGUGAGUAACACGUGGAUAACCUACCUAUAAGACUGGGAUAACUUCGGGAAACCGGAGCUAAUACCGGAUAAUAUAUUGAACCGCAUGGUUCAAUAGUGAAAGACGGUUUUGCUGUCACUUAUAGAUGGAUCCGCGCCGCAUUAGCUAGUUGGUAAGGUAACGGCUUACCAAGGCAACGAUGCGUAGCCGACCUGAGAGGGGGAUCGGCCACACUGGAACUGAGACACGGCCGAGACUCCGACGGGAGGAAGCAGUAGGGAAUCUUCCGCAAUGGGCGAAAGCAUGACGGAGCAACGACGCGUGAGUGAUGAAGGUCUUCGGAUCGUAAAACUCUGUUAUUAGGGAAGAACAAAUGUGUAAGUACCUAUGCACGUCUUGACGGUACCUAAUCAGAAAGCCCCGGCUAACUACGUG